AAGGUGGUGGUGGUGGUGGUGGUGGUAGCUGAGGCAGUCAAGCAUGAUGGUGAUAGUAAGGAAUGUGAAAGACAGUGGUGAUGGUAGUGGAGGGGAAGUCAGUGAAGUCAAAGGUGUUGAUGGUGGUGGCGUCAGAAGACUGAAUGGUGUGUGUAUGGUGGAAAUGGUGAUGGUUGAAAACAAUCAAGAAGAGGAGAAAGAAAGAGACAUUUGACUGCAGCCAUGCUGGAGCACUGCCUUUAGUCAAACAAAUCGACCCCAGGACUUAUUCUUCGUAAGCCUAGUGCCUAUUCUAUCAGUCUUUUUUGCCGAACUGCAAAGUUAUGGGGAUGUAAACACACCAACAUCAGUUGUGAAGUGAUGGUGGAGGGCACACACAGACACACAACCAUAUCCACACAAACACACAUAACAGGCUUCUUUCAGUUUCUGCCCAUCAAAUCCACUCACAAGGCUUGGUUGGCCCAAGGCUAUAGUAGAAGACACUUACCCAAGGUGUCACGCAAUGGGACUGAACCUGGAACCAUGUGGUUGGUAAACAAGCUACCUAACACAUAACCAUUUACAUAUGUAUAUAAAUUUAAUUUAUAAUUAUUUUUCAAGUUUACCAAGCUUUUAUUUUUCAUUUACCUGUAUUUGAUUCAUUUGAAGUAUCAAAAAUUCUGUAAUAAAUGUGUUUCUGUGUAUUAAUGUAUGCAUGGGAAUUUAUUUCA